UGGGGGAUAUUGCACAAUGGGCGAAAGCCUGAUGCAGCGACGCCGCGUGGGGGAUGAAGGCCUUCGGGUUGUAAACUUCUUUUGCUCUGAACAAGGCAUGCCUUUGGGGUGUGUUGAGUGUAGGGGUUGAUUAGCGCCGGCUAACUACGUGCCAGCAGCCGCGGUAAUACGUAGGGCGCGAGCGUUGUCCGGAAUUAUUGGGCGUAAAGGGCUUGUAGGUGGCUGGUUGCGUCUGUCGUGAAAGCUCAUGGCUUAACUGUGGGUUUGCGGUGGGUACGGGCUGGCUUGAGUGCAGUAGGGGAGGCUGGAAUUCCUGGUGUAGCGGUGGAAUGCGCAGAUAUCAGGAGGAAUACCGGUGGCGAAGGCGGGUCUCUGGGCUGUUACUGACGCUGAGGAGCUAAAGCGUGGGGAGCGAACAGG
rnacentral:rRNA from 1 species